rnacentral:rRNA from 1 species
UUGGAGGGCAAGUCUGGUGCCAGCAGCCGCGGUAAUUCCAGCUCCAAUAGCGUAUAUUAAAGUUGUUGUAGUUAAAAAGCUCGUAGUUGAAUUUCGGGAUCAAGGGAUCGGUCAUGCCUUGGUAUGUACUGGUCUUAUUGGUUCUCACCUUCUAAAGAACCAUGAUGUCAUUCAUUUGGUGUUAUGGGGAAUUAGGACUGUUACCUUGAAAAAAUUAGAGUGUUUAAAGCAAGCUUACGCUUGAAUACAUUAGCAUGGAAUAAUGAAAUAGGACAUCAGAUUCUAUUUUGUUGGUUUCUAGGAUCGAUGUAAUGAUUAAUAGGGAUAGUUGGGGGCAUUAGUAUUCAAUUGUCAGAGGUGAAAUUCUUGGAUUUAUUGAAGACUAACUACUGCGGAAGCAUUUGCCAAGGAUGUUUUCAUUAAUCAAGAACGAAAGUUAGGGGAUCGAAGACGAUCAGGUACCGUCGUAGUCUUAACCAUAAACUAUGCCGACUAGGGAUCGGAUGAUGUUAAUUUUUUAAUGACUCAUUCGGCACCUUACGGGAAACCAAAGUGUUUGGGUUC